GCCGCUGUAGCUCAGCUGGUAGAGCACUGCAUUCGUAAUGCAUAGGUCGGGUGUUCAAGUCACCCCAGCGGCACCA
rnacentral:tRNA from 1 species